CAAUUCCCGGUAAUCUCCGGGAACUGUCAGCUAGGAUGCAGACUAAGGUGCGAUUUGUUCCUACGUUGUUUUGGUCAUGAUACCCGGGAGUGACCUCCAGCUCCCGGCUCUAUC
rnacentral:sRNA from 14 species